rnacentral:rRNA from 1 species
GAUGAACGCUAGCGGCAGGCCUAAUACAUGCAAGUCGUACGGGAUUGAGGACUUCGGUUUUCAUGAGAGUGGCGCACGGGUGCGUAACACGUAUGCAACCUACCUUUAACCGGGGGAUAGCCUUUCGAAAGAGAGAUUAAUACCGCAUAAAACGGCAGUACCGCAUGGUAUAACUGUUAAAGCUUCGGUGGUUAAAGAUGGGCAUGCGUUGCAUUAGCUAGUUGGUAAGGUAACGGCUACCAAGGCUACGAUGCAUAGGGGAUCUGAGAGGAUGACUCCCCCACACUGGUACUGAGAC